UUACGCAUACUUGUUGGUUGA
ensembl:piRNA 21ur-5098 ncRNA